UCCUUCCCAGCCGCAUUUUCCAAUGCGCGUGGCAGGCCUAUCGGCUCUCGCCCCCGUCUUGCUUCGCUCCACCUCCGAAAUCCCAACCCUGGGAGGAAAAGGAUGGGAUAGAUUCCAGGGGGCAGCAAGGACAACAGCAGCGGCGACGAAGACCUGUUUCAAGAAGAACCGGGGUUACACCGGAGGCAACGGUGGCGCCAGAGAUAUGCGCCAUCACCGAAUGCUCCGUGACAACCACCGUCC
rnacentral:lncRNA from 1 species